GGAUCCUGGACAGAUCAUUGUUGUGGACUGUCUGAGUUUUUAAAGAAAAGUGUCGGAGGGCGAAGGAUUGCGGCAACAAAAAAAUACGCACUGCUUUACGGUACCUGGUCCCCCGACAACGACCAACCAAGCGGCGGCGGACGUGGUACGGAGGACGCUUCUAGAAACCU